GAACCUUCUUUAGAUGGAGUAGCGCUUGCUCGCAUUCAUCGGUCCAGUCGAAGGUAGCCUCUUUGCGAAGGAGUCUGAAGAACGGCAACGCGUGCUGGGCGGACUUGGCGAUGAAACGGGGAGUGAGGCGAGCACUCCAUUGAGUGACUGGAUCGAUUUUUUGGUUUUCGGGGUCGGAAACUCCGAGAAUGCCCGGCAUUUGUCGGGGUUGGCCUCGAUCCCUCUUUCGGUGAGAUAGAAACCGAG
rnacentral:lncRNA from 1 species